CUAUUCAUUUUCGCAUCGCCCUCCUUCCUCUCGACGCCUAGGCGGUUCCUCCGGCUCUCUUUGUUUUUUCAAGAAGACAGACUCAUUCAGAGGGAGCGAGCGUGUGAGAGAGAGAUUGGGUUUUGGAGAAAAGAGAAAAAAUGACAGAUGAGACGGUAAGAUUCGGGGUUCUGGGCAGUAUGUUCGAGGCGAUGGUGAGGGAUCGGUCGGCGGCGAAGAAACGGAAGCGGUUCAGGACGCUGCUGGAUCGGGUGUACACGGGGCGGGACUACUUUAGCGCCGUUCGGCUCAUCCUCCCGGGCCUCGACCGGGAGCGCGGCUCGUACGGGCUCAAGGAGUCCGCCCUCGCUGCCGCCCUUGUCGACGCCCUCGGACUGGCCAAGGACUCUCCCGACGCCCUCCGCCUUAUCAACUGGCGCAAGGGCGGCGCCCGUUCGGGUGCCAACGCCGGCAACUUCGCCCUUGUCGCCGCCGAGGUUCUACAGCGUAGGCAAGGAAUGGCUUCUGGUGGGCUUACAAUCAAGGAGUUGAAUGAUGCUCUUGAUCAAAUAGCCUCAAAAGAAAAUAGGGCAGAGAAGACUGCUGUUCUUGCUAGUCUCAUUAAGAAAACAAAUGCCCAGGAAAUGAAGUGGAUUCUAAUGAUCAUUCUUAAAGAUCUGAAGCUGGGGAUUAGUGAGAAGAGUAUAUUUCAUGAGUUUCACCCAGAUGCUGAAGAUUUGUUCAAUGUCACUUGUGACCUAAAAUUAGUCUGUGAAAAGCUGAAAGAUCGAAGUCAACGUCAUAAACGGCAGGAUAUAGAAGUGGGAAAAGCUGUAAGGCCUCAGCUAGCUAUGAGGGUCGGUGAUGCUGCAACUGCAUGGAGGAAGCUUCAUGGAAAGCAUGUGGUUGUCGAGUGCAAGUUUGAUGGUGAUCGCAUUCAAAUCCACAAGAACGGAGAAGAGAUUCACUUUUUUUCACGGAAUUUUCUCGAUCAUCCCGAAUACGAACAUGGCAUGUCGAACAUUAUUUUACAGAACAUCACUGUUGAGAGGUGUAUUCUGGAUGGUGAAAUGCUCGUUUGGGACACCUCAACUCAACGUUUUGCAGAAUUUGGUUCAAAUCAGGAAAUAGCAAAGGCAGCUAGAGAAGGAUUAGAGAGUGACCGCCAGCUAUGCUAUGUUGCAUUUGAUAUUCUUUAUGUCGGAGACACUAGUGUUAUUCAUCAGAGCUUGACAGAAAGACUUGACCUUCUGCGAAAAGUUGUAAAACCUUUGAAGGGUCGCUUAGAAAUUCUGACCCCUAAUGGGGGUCUUAAUGAUCGUCGUUUGCAAGGCGAGCCAUGUUGGUCCCUUGUUGCUUACACUGUGGAAGAUGUGGAGAGAUUUUUCAAAGAAACUAUUGAAAAUAGAGAUGAGGGGAUUGUGUUGAAGGACCUUGGUUCCAAAUGGGAACCUGGUGAUCGAAGUGGAAAGUGGUUGAAGUUGAAACCUGAUUACAUACAUGCUGGUGCUGAUCUGGAUGUGCUUGUCAUAGGAGGAUAUUUUGGUUCUGGCCGUCAUGGAGGAGAGGUAGCUCAGUUUUUGGUGGGUCUUGCGACGCGUUCAGAUUCUACCAGCUAUCCAAACCGAUUUGUUUCAUUCUGUCGAGUUGGUACUGGUCUCUCUGACGAGGAGCUUGAUGCUCUCAUUACGAAAUUGAAGCCUUAUUUCAGGAAGAAUGAAUAUCCAAAAAAAGUGCCACCCUUUUAUGAAGUCACAAAUAAUUCAAAGGAGAGGCCAGAUGUUUGGAUUGACAGCCCUGACAAAUCGGUCAUACUUUCUAUAACUAGCGAUAUCCGAACUAUAAAGUCUGAGGUAUUUGCCGCACCAUACAGUUUGAGAUUUCCACGCAUUCAUCGUGUGAGAUAUGACAAGCCAUGGCAUGAGUGCCUUGAUGUGCAGUCAUUCGUAGACUUGGUACAUUCAAGCAAUGGGAAUACACAGAGGGGAACAGAUCAUGGAGGUCUGCAAAAUCAUGGAUCAAAACGUGUGAAGUCCACCAAGAAGGGAGAGAAGAAAAAUUUAUCCAUUGUCCCUGCUCAUUUGAUCCAUACUGACAUCUCUGGUGUUAAGGAGGAGACCCUCAUAUUUGCAAAUAUGAUGUUCUAUUUUAUCAAUGUUCCUCCAUCCUAUUCUGUAGACUACUUUCACAAAAUUGUGGUUGAGAAUGGGGGAACUUUCUCAAUGAAUCUCAAUGACUCAGUUACUCACUGCAUUGCAGCUGAAAGAAAAGGGAUCAAGUAUCAAGCUGCUAUGCAUCAUGGAGAUAUCAUUCACUAUUCUUGGGUCUUGGAUUGUUGCAAACAAAAGCAUCUUCUACAUUUGCAACCGAAGUACUACCUAUUUCUUGCAGAUUCUUCAAAGAGCAAGUUUCGGGAGGAGAUUGACACGUUCUCUGAUUAUUAUUACUGGGAUAUAGAUAUUGCAGACAUUAAACAGAUAUUCAGCAAUAUGCAUGGACCAGAAUAUACGAACAACAUAGAUUAUUAUAAGAAGAAGUACUGUCCAGUGGAAACAUUGUGCUUGUUUCAGGGUUGUUGUGUUUACUUCUACAAAUCAAUGUCUGUUAUAAAUACAUGCGGUGAAGUAAUAUUAGAGCUUGCUUUAAGGAGGAUGAGGCUUGAAAUAACCAUGCAUGGUGGUGAAGUUUGCAGCAGUCUUCAACAUGCCACUCAUUUGAUUGUGUAUUCAACAACAAAAGAAGCCAACAACUUUGAUGAAAUAUAUAAAAGUUUUCCAUCUUCUCAAAGACACCUACUACAUGACAGUAGGCUACAUGUUGUGAUGCAUCAAUGGUUGGAAGAUUCAUUAGAAAGAGGCAAGAAGUUGCACGAAGAUUCUUAUAACUUGAAGCCUGAUACCUUUGAAGAAAUUAAGAUUGAUGAGAGGCACAAUCUCAUAUCUCCUGUAACUACAAGCAAUGCAGAAAAACAGUGUGUCUCUAGACUAAAUAUAGGUGAAAAGAAGAAAAGAGAUAGGCCCAUGCAUGCUGAUGCAAGAAAGGGUAGAACGGGUCCAAAACUCACACGAAGAACACGGGCAAGGAUUGGAAACAGACCUGCAAAAAUAGAUGCAGAUGAAGCAGAGAACAGUGAUUGCUCAGAUGAAACUUCUAUGGGUAAAAUCCUGAAGUCAAGAAAAGAGUCUAACAUUGACAUCACAGAAAGUGCAGGGAUCAAAGAUCAAGAAUCAUUUUCAGAUGAAAGUAGUCAAAGAGGAGCCUUAGGAUCAAGGAAAGAGUCUAAAGGUGACAUGGAGGAAAGUGAGGAUAUCAAAUAUCAAGCACCGCAUUUUAGUAUUCAAGCAGCUGAGUGUCAUGCAGGGUCUCAGAAUGUACAUUUAACUGAUUGUGAUAAAAAGUCAGAAGCACCAGAAGAUAUAACCAAUGAAAGGUUUGACAAUGUGCAAACAGUGCAUGUCACAGAAACAGGAACUAAAGGAACUGGUGAAAAAAUUGAACAAAUUGUUGACCCACUGCAUGCUAUGUUAUUAGAUAUGAUACCAAGUCUUAGCCAGAACAAUGCGGAAACUGGAAGCUCCAUUCCUGAAGGCAAGGAAACACAGCCAGAUCUCCACACCAACCCAGUGAAGAAGAAAGUUAGCUACAAAGAUGUUGCAGGUCAACUCCUCAAAGAUUGGUAAUAGCUUUAAAAAUCAAGUGAUUUGGUUUGUGUGCGUACACGGGGUAUGACAGCAAAAGAUGUAAAAGUCUGCAAUACAAGCGGUAGUGCUUUUUUGUAUAUAUUAUUACAGUCAAGUCAGAAUAGUGUUACCCCAUGAACAACCAUCAUCCUUGGCAUGCACUUGUGGUGGAACAACUUUUGUUUAGGGUCCAGAUUGACCUGUGGCCAAAUUUCAGUCUGGUUUUAUGUGGUUAUGUCAAAUGUGUUGAUAUGCCCUUUCAAAUGGGAGCUGGUUAGGACAACUUGCGACAGUCAGCACAAGUGAGUAUUUCUUGAAACCCGAUAUGACGUUGUUUUAAGUCUAUACCAUGGAUUUGAUCCUUAUAAAAAGGAGAGGUUUUGAAUGGAUCUA